CCUACGGGAGGCAGCAGUGAGGAAUAUUGGUCAAUGGGCGGAAGCCUGAACCAGCCAAGUCGCGUGAGGGAUUAAGGCCCUGCGGGUCGUAAACCUCUUUUGCCGGGGAGCAGUGGUCCGGACGCGUCCGGACCGGGAGAGUACCCGGAGAAAAAGCAUCGGCUAACUCCGUGCCAGCAGCCGCGGUAAUACGGAGGAUGCGAGCGUUAUCCGGAUUUAUUGGGUUUAAAGGGUGCGUAGGCGGGCAUUUAAGCCGGCGGUCAAAUGUCGGGGCUCAACCCCGGCCUGCCGUCGGAACCGGAGACCUUGAGUGCGCGGAAGGCAGGCGGAAUUCGUGGUGUAGCGGUGAAAUGCUUAGAUAUCACGAAGAACCCCGAUUGCGAAGGCAGCCUGCCGCAGCGUUACUGACGCUGAAGCUCGAAAGCGCGGGUAUCGAACAGGAUUAGAUACCCCAGUAGUC
rnacentral:rRNA from 1 species